UGAGGAAUAUUGGACAAUGGGUUAGCGCCUGAUCCAGCCAUCCCGCGUGAAGGACGACGGCCCUAUGGGUUGUAAACUUCUUUUGUACAGGGAUAAACCUACCCUCGUGAGGGUAG
rnacentral:rRNA from 1 species